UCUGUUAAUUGGGGACAGCUCCUGCAGAUUAAUGACAAAAUGGGAAAGCUGAUAACCCUUUUACCUGGGGCCAGCAGCUCUUGGCCAUCUCUUGCUGGAAUUACUGUGUAAAAAACUUCAUUUUAAACAUUAAAAGCCUAUCUUCUUUCUUAUACAGAAAUGUGCAAAAGCACAAAUUCCCUUCUGAAUUUCAAAGCUUCUCAUUUGCACGUGCUCCCAUUACCCACUAGAUAGUAUGCAGAGCACCACAUUGGUCCAGAUUUCCCCGACUUCUCCUGAUCGUAUCUGAACUAGUGACUUACACCAUGUAUCAGCAAUGUGGGCGACGGCAUGGUACUGCUUAAACAGGGAUGCUAAUAGGAUGCUGUUGUCCUCUCCCUGCAGAACACCAUGGCGGAUGCUCCCCAGAGCUUGCAGUGCACGUCUCCCGGCGCCAUGGCAUCCCCUUCUCCAGCCCGCCUCACACACGGCUGCAGGAGAGAAGAGGCCCAGCGGUGGCUGAUGACUCUCAGUCCCUCCUUUGCCCGCAAAGCCACGAUGAUAGUGUAUUUGGGGAGACAGAAGCAGGCUGCACGAGCACAGUAGCUCCUCCGGGGAUUUGACUGUUUCUGAGCUCAGGGUNNNNNNNNNNNNNNNNNNNNNNNNNNNNNNNNNNNNNNNNNNNNNNNNNNCUCGGGCACCGAGCGGUGGGUUCUGAUGUCACCGAGGGAUGGACGGCGACAUUCCCAGGCGGUGGGUGGGGACCGCGCGUCCCUCGCUGCUCGUGUCCGGGCACCAAGUCUCACCCCGCUGGCUCGUGCCCGCGCUCCAGCUGCGCGAGUGUGCGAGGUUGGAGUGCGGAGCGAGGCUGUUGCUGCUGCGGGGGAAGAUCUUCACUGCAGCUCUCAGUGCCCGACCCCAGAGCCAUUGAGGGAUUUUCCCCGACACUGCCGGGAUCAAGCAGCCGUGGCACCCAGGAGGCGCGCUCGCAGCAGCAGAGUGUGCAGCGGCAGUGAGCAGGAGCAGUUCAACAUCCCCAGCUCCCCCCAGCCCACCGCAGCAUGUGGAGAGCAUGGCCACGGAGCUGGAGAACUGCUCUCCAGUAUGCCUGGACAGCUGGGAGAAGCGCAGCUACGUACUGCCAUGCCUCCACCAAUUCUCCUGCCUGUGCAUCGUGCGGUGGGCUGAGAGCAAGCCCGAGUGCCCCCUCUGCAAGAGGAAGGUGAGAUCCAUCUUGCACUCAGUGUGGGCAGACAACAGCUUUGAGGAGUAUGUCAUCGCACCACCUGCAGCACCGUCAUUUACCGUCCGCCUGACAGGAGGAGCUUGCGGACACCCAACCGCGCCCAGCUCCCGUGGCUCCGGUGGGCGGCUUCUGUGCCUACAUCUGGGCAUCCAUCUUCUGCCACUGGCCCGCAGUCCUCCAUCCCUCACUGCCCUGGCUGCAUCAGGUGCUGGGGCAGCUCUUCGAGGAUGCCCAGGAAGCAGCAGCAGUGCAGAGCCUCGUCUUAUCUAGCCUGCUCUACUUUGGCCCGGAUAAGGAGGCUCUGAUCCAGCUGCUGUGGGACACCCUAGGCAGGCACACGAGGAGCUUUGUCCACCAGCUUGUGCACACCGUCUUGUGCC
ensembl:lncRNA